rnacentral:rRNA from 1 species
AACGAACGCUGGCGGCAGGCUUAACACAUGCAAGUCGAACGCAUCCUUCGGGGUGAGUGGCAGACGGGUGAGUAACGCGUGGGAACGUGCCCUUCAGUUCGGGAUAACCCAGGGAAACUUGGGCUAAUACCGGAUACGUGCGAGAGCAGAAAGAUUUAUCGCUGAAGGAUCGGCCCGCGUCUGAUUAGCUAGUUGGUGGGGUAAUGGCCCACCAAGGCGACGAUCAGUAGCUGGUCUGAGAGGAUGAUCAGCCACAUUGGGACUGAGACAAGGCCCAAACUCCUACGGGAGGCAGCAGUGGGGAAUAUUGGACAAUGGGCGCAAGCCUGAUCCAGCCAUGCCGCGUGAGCGAUGAAGGCCUUAGGGUUGUAAAGCUCUUUCGUCCGGGACGAUAAUGACGGUACCGGAAGAAGAAGCCCCGGCUAACUUCGUGCCAGCCGCCGCAGUAA